rnacentral:lncRNA from 1 species
CACAAAACCUUGAGUAUUCUGGUGGUAAAGGCACCACCCUGUAAACCAGCAGGUUGCAGGUUCGAACCUCCUUGUUGAGGGUUUUUAAUUUUUUUGUGAAAUAAAAAAGGGACAGCUCGGUAUUGAUUCUCGUUGUUGGGCCUGGGCUUCACGUGACCACCAGCCAACUCGUAGGUUUAAUAACUAAACAAAUAAAAUAACAGAAAAGACAACAACACAACCAAGUGCGUGGUCUAGUGGUAACAUACCUUUACUUACAGCAUUAGGUUGUGGGUUCAAAGCUUCCAUGGAGCAAGUUAUUUUUUGCCAAAUAAAAAAA